rnacentral:rRNA from 1 species
CCUACGGGUGGCUGCAGUGGGGAAUAUUGCACAAUGGGGGCAACCCUGAUGCAGCGACGCCGCGUGAGUGAAGAAGUAAUUCGUUAUGUAAAGCUCUAUCAGCAGGGAAGAAAAUGACGGUACCUGAGUAAGAAGCCCCGGCUAAUUACGUGCCAGCAGCCGCGGGAAUACGUAGGGGGCAAGCGUUAUCCGGAUUUACUGGGCGUAAAGGGAGCGUAGACGGGAGGGCAAGUCUGGAGUGAAAGGCGGGGGCGCAACCCCCGGACUGCACUGGAAACUGUACGGCUGGAGUGCAGGAGAGGUAAGUGGAAUUCCUGGUGUAGCGGUGAAAUGCGUAGAUAUUAGGAGGAACACCAAUGGCGAAGGCAGCUUACUGAACUGUAACUGACGUUGAGGCUCGAAAGCGUGGGGAGCAAACAGGAUUAGAUACCCUUGUAGUC